GUCCCCUACGGGGUGCAGCAGUGAGGAAUAUUGGUCAAUGGCCGGAAGGCUGGACCAGCCAAGCCGCGUGAAGGACGAAGGUGCCAAGCAUUGUAAACUUCUUUUGUCAAGGGACAAAAUCAGGCUCGAGAGCCUGACCGAGGGUACUUGAAGAAAAAGCAUUGGCUAACUCCGUGCCAGCAGCCGCGGUAAUACGGAGGAUGCGAGCGUUAUCCGGAUUUAUUGGGUUUAAAGGGUGCGUAGGCGGAUUUUUAAGU
rnacentral:rRNA from 1 species